GAUCCGGGGACCCGCCCCCAGAAUUGUGGCCUCGUCCUCUGAUUGGUUGGAGAACAAGCACAUCCGGGGCCUUCUUCCUGUUCCGCCUCUUGCUUGUUAUUGGUCGUUAGAUGUUUUGGUCAGCUAUGGAGCAUGCGUAUUGGGAGGGAUAUCCGGAAUGAAAUGGUCCUCCAUGAGAGCCACAAGCGGGCAUUCAACAACUUGAAAACUGGAUUGAAAAUGAGAGACAGAGCAGCCACUCCAGAAGCUUCCAAAAUCACGCUGCACCUUCUUGAACUGCUGCGAUCCAUGUGGUGACGUAGCUCCCAUGUUGCAAUUUGGACGACCAGAGCAGCACACAGUCCGACCGAAGAGGACUAGCCAACAUAACUUCCCAAGUCCUGUACUCAGACCUGAGCAAUGAAGACAAGUGUGCUAAACGCCUUCUUAACCACCCUGUCUACCUGUGAUGCAAAUUUCAAAGAAUGAUGUACCUGAAACCCGAGGUUUUUUUCUGUUCUGCAACACUACCGAGAGCCCAACCAUUAAUUGUGACAUGGACUUUGCUGGCUUGGCCAGAAUUUAUUGCCCAUCUGUGAUUGCACAGAGGGCUAUCAAGUGUCAGCUGCAUUGCUGUACGGCUGGAGGCACUCACAGACCAAACCAGGGAAUUGGAAAGGAAGUAUUUACUGACAGGCUGCUCAACUCAAACUUUGGAUCAAGAACUGUCAGAUUCACUUCAUUCUCAGGAGCUUUGAACAUUUAAGGAACAAGUGUCAUUCACAGUGAAGAGAAACCAUACAGGUGGUCUGUGUGGACAAGCCUUCAGUCAAUUGUCUGGCCUGUCGAUACGUAAAUGCAGUUCCCUGGUUUCUCUGUGCUGUGCGUGUCCUUGUCUUUGUCCAGAUUGGGCGAUCAGGUGAAUUCAAGUCAAUGCAGAGAGAAGGCCUAUUUUUUUCUUGUUGUGAAUGUGUUUUUGUUCUUCCUUAUUCUCCCAUAGGAGGUGGGUAUCACUGGUCAGGACAGCAUUUGUUGUUCAUCCCUAAUUUACCUUGAACUGAUGUCAGACAGCAGAUAGGGGUCAACCAUGUUGUUGUGGGCCUCAAGCCACUUGUAUGCCAGACCAGGCAAGGACUUCCCUUCCAAAGGGACAUGAAUGAAUGGGAUUUCAGGAAAUUAAAGCCAUGGCCUCUGUUCCUGAAAUUCAAGUUUACUUUCCAGAUUUUAUUCAUUGAAUUUAAACUCCAGCAGCUGCUGUGUCUCAGUCCCCAGGGAUUAUCACCACUGCACUGCUAUCUCUCCGCUGUAUUGCCUUACUGUAGAGGAUAAUGUUCACUGUUCAGAUCAUCCCAGAGUGACAGAACAGGAGAAGGCCAUUUGGACCAUCACACCGGUGUUGGUUCUUGUUGAGAAAGGGAUUGAGUGAAAGGAAAAAGUACCAGCUGAUGCAUGUUUGCAACAUUUACAAUGUGUGUCCAUGUCAGGAUAAAUGUGGUUUAAUGUAGAUUGAAGUGGUUACUGAGAGCAAGAAGCUGAUGCAGAGACAAUGUGAGCAAAAUUAACUUAGCUGCUAACAAACAUCAAUUUGUUGGUGACGACAGCAGAGAAUGGUUUCAAUCCAGUGACCUUCUGGGUAAUGGGCCCAGCAUGCUCCCUUUACACCACGCCCUGCCAGGUAACUCAACUGGAACACAUUUGACUUCCUUCUUGCUUUCGAAUGGCAGUGCGCGCACACACACACACAAACACACACACAAACACACACAGACUCACACACACCAAUGUAUGAUUAACUUACACACAAUGUCACAAAGCUGCAUUAGAACAUUAUUCAAACGAGCCACCACACACUGCAGCGCAGAGCAGAAGAAAAUCACCUAUACAGCGUAUUCAAAAAGAAUGGGAACCCUAUGAACACAGUCUGCCGAUUCCGCAGCAAUAAACCCAAACAAACAGGCAAAACGGGCUCAGAAACCAUAACCACGCUCCCCUACAUCAAAGACAUUUCCGAAAUGACUGCCAGACUACUCGGACCUCUUGGCAUCAGGGCAGCCCACAAACCCACCAGCACACUAAAACAGCAGCUAAUGAACUUAAAAGACCCUAAACAGACAACAAACAAAACAAACGUCAUCUACAAAAUACCUUGCAAGAACUGUGACAAACACUACAUUGGACAAACUGGCAGAAAGCUAGCCACCAGGAUACAUGAACAUCAACUAGCCACAAAACGACAUGACCCACUAU